rnacentral:lncRNA from 1 species
AAAAAAUGUCUGAAAAAUCUCAUAAAGCUAUGUCAGACGCUGACUGGAUUUCACGUCUGAAAAAGUUUGCCUGCACAGGAUUUUGGCCAUAAAAUUAGGGCAACAGGCCAGCUCCUCGACAAAGAAAGUGGCAUAAGAUUUAUCAAAGGAUUGAGAAAUGCCCAUUGCAAUCUCGUGGGCAGAGGACCAUGCUUGGAGGUGUGCUGAAAUGCACAUGUGGUUUUCACACUCAAAAGCAGAGUACUGCUUCUGCUGCUCCAGCACAAACGGUGCAACAACCUGCCCCUACUGUACCUGCUCAGGAGGUGAUGGAGACGAGACAACUUGAGGCCCAGCCCCAGCCCCCGUCUACUCCACCAGUGGCAUCAAAGAUUUCACCGCAAUUGUCAAUAAUACAUUUUUUUAAAAAUCAAAAGAAAUGACAAUUUCAGUGUUUCAAGUGUUCAAGGUGAUCAAAGUUCAGUUCAAAGUUCAAACAUAGAAGAGAAAAGAACAAAAAGCAAUAAAAAAGUUGAGGUGUUGCUAGAGACCUGCUUAAACUAAAUUGAGUAAAUUAGUUUAAAUUAGGUGAUAGUUUCUAAUUGCUUGAAAUUUAAUGUGAUAUACACUAAUGUUCAAAAAAAUUAUUAUUGUUAAAAUAUAAAAGCUUUAUAUUAAUCAUAUAUAACAAGAAUUCUAUUGUGUUUGAUUUGCUCAUAAAUUAAAUUGAUUUUAUUUGAUUUGAAUUGUUUGAAUAAAUUAUUCUUUAUUUAUUUAAUUUGCCUAUAUAAUUAUUUCACAUUAUUCCAGUUUUUACUAAAUAUUAGAUCAAAUAAAUGUAGCCUUGAUAAACAUAUUUAAAACAUUAAAAAAAUACAUUGAGCAGAUCGCAAACCUUUGAACAGUAGUGUACAUUUUGCCAUUGUGAACACAGUGUUUUUAGUGAAAUGCUUUUUAUUUUUUAUUUGAUGUUCAUUACUGUUUUUUGACCAUUGUUAAAUAAAUAUUGGAUUAAUAAAUGUCCUUGACUUUUAAGUCC